CCUACGGGGGGCAGCAGUGAGGAAUAUUGGUCAAUGGGCGAGAGCCUGAACCAGCCAAGUCGCGUGAGGGAGUACUGCCCUAUGGGUUGUAAACCUCUUUUGUCGGGGAGCAAAAGCCGGACGUGUCCGGCUGUGAGAGUACCCGAAGAAAAAGCAUCGGCUAACUCCGUGCCAGCAGCCGCGGUAAUACGGAGGAUGCGAGCGUUAUCCGGAUUUAUUGGGGUUAAAGGGUGCGCAGUCGGAUUUUUAAGUCAGCGGUCAAAUCGUGGGGCUCAACCCCAUCCAGCCGUUGAAACUGGGGAUCUAGAGUGUGCGAGAGGUAUGCGGAAUGCGUGGUGUAGCGGUGAAAUGCAUAGAUAUCACGCAGAACCCCGAUUGCGAAGGCAGCAUACCGGUGCACAACUGACGCUCAGGCACGAAAGCGUGGGUAUCGAACAGGAUUAGAUACCCUGGUAGUC
rnacentral:rRNA from 1 species